AAAUGGCGUUGCCUGUGUCUCGUGGUGUCCUGAGCCACCAAAGGUCCCACCCUCUCUGCAGAACUCCAGCCAAAAAAAGUUUGCUUCCCUUUCGGCACCGCAGUGCUUUUGGAUGUCAGAACCAGCGUCAGCCCUCUUCAGAGACUUGAGCAACUGCUGUGAAUUUAAAACAAAUAUUUUUCAUCUUAAAUGCCACGGCAGGUGGUGUGGGUAGCGCUAUGGCUGAGAAAAAUGGGAAAAGAAAGAUGUCUCUGGAAGAUGCUUCGUUUGAACUUCCAAUGUCUCAGAGAUGCAAACAGAGAGUUUUUCCAGGAAAGCUUCUUUUUCAUCAAUUUAAAUUUUGGGAAUUUUUCCAGGACAGUUUCUGUUCAGCGCGGCCAUUAUUUUUGAGGGACUUUUGCUCACAGCAUCUCUCUGUAGGUUCCUAUGGCACUCCACACAGAGCGGCCCCAGCUAACAAUACGAGAUAUCUGAAGAGGCUUAAAAGAGUUUCUGGAUCAGAACGCGCAGUUUGCAGGUUGCCAGCCUUCCCAGAACACCAUCUAUUACUCUUUAGGGACUGGAAAAAGCUGCUUGGCUUCAUCACAUUUGUUUGUCUUUCCCUCUCCAACUGAGCAGGGGGAUCUGAUUUUCCUGAAUUUGGCUGAAGAGACAAAUUAAAGUUUUCUUUGUUUAUAAUCAAAGCAGGAGUGAUUAUUUGAACAUUUUGAUGGAAUCACAUAGUAUUUUAAGAGUCUGUAAAAAGACAAGAAAGGUGGUGGGAAGUCAUCGGACUCUAUUUUCUUUAAAACUGUGUGGAUGGUUUCAACAAAGUGAACCCACGAUGUCUGUAGAGUUUCACCAAAUGGCCUGGGAACUGAUGGCAAAUUUGUGAAAACAUGCUGGAAAUGUUUUGUUGAUAUUCCUGCUGACAUUAGGGGCAGAUCCUGCAUGUCACCACAAAUAUUUGGCAGUGGAGAAAACCAGAGAUUUUGUUCAGCUCUGUUUGGAAUCAGAUAGCAAAUUGAUCUUGGAGGCUCUCCCUGGAACUCUUCAUAUUUUUGGAAAACAAAAGAUUUUCAGAGGAAGCCCUGUUUUUAUUAUGCAUGAGAUUGUUAUGGGAGGAGAAAAGGGAGUCUGUGACUUACACAAAAGAAGAGGGGAAUCGGAGCUUUUGCUGGAAUUGAACAGAUUAUUCCUGGCCUUAGCUUUGUGUACUUUUCCCCAGGAACAUGGAUUUUUAUGUGAGAAAAGAUUAUUUCUGAAUUAUUUAUUAUUUAUUUAUUUAUUAUUCUGUCUUCAGCGCCUCAUACAAUGGGAGAUCAGUUACCUGUGGGGUCAGUAAAUGGUCCUGGUGGGAGCUGAGGGAAGGGAGUAUGCCCAGAGAACAUCACAACACUGGGAAACACUGCUGCGGUGGGAUGGGACUCACCAUCAGCUAAGACAGGACACAUGGUCCUUCCUGGCAGUGCUCAGCCACCCUUGUCUCCCUUGCUCUGCUCUUGCUCCAAGUGGCUGAUUAGGCACAGAGAGUCCUGACUGCUCCUUUUGAUCCACCAUCUACAUGACCUGGAUGAAAUCCCAGACCCAAAGAUUUUUUCCCUUAACUCCGGCCAAUAUUUCACCUCGUCUUCCAGUAAGUGAUGGUGUGUCCUCUGCGGCAGCGAGGGUAUUGCCCUUGCUCACCACGGUGGUAUCAUCUCCCCACCUUCUAGGCUUCCUGCCUUGUUUGUUGGGAAGAGACCAGGAGAACACUGGGAGGAAACAUCUCAGCACUAUUUUUCCUCUCUGGCUUAAAAAGAAGCCCAGAAAAGCUGGGAGCCUGAGGCUCAAAAACGGGACCUGACCUCCCCCCCAGACAACACACGUUUCUGUGUGAAAGAGCUCAUCUAUGAAGUAGCAAAAUUUCCCAGAGGUGACAAGGAAGGACCUUUUGAGGGACUAUGCUCUGUACACUUGUAUGGGUUGGUGGAUUCUAGAUGAAGCAAAGAAAAACUCUCCAUGGGAAGCUUUUGACUUCAUAGAUUGCUCAAACACUACCCAUGUUCAGCACAGGGCUGGAUGUGAUAAACUCGACUCAUACAGCAACCCAAGGAAAAAACAACAGGAGAAUGUGGCAAGCAGUCAGUUUUGUGGUCUGAACCUCACAGGAAGGACAUGCUUUCAGAUCAGACCUUGGCUGUAACAGCUAGCCUGAAGUAGAAGGAAAAGCAGAAGAGGCUGCUUCUUGCAUUUCCUUUGAGUUAUUUCAAGACUGCCACUUUUGCUCUCCAGCCACAAGGAAAGGCUGAUCUGUUGGUCCCACUGCUACUCAAACCAGCUCCAUGUCCUCAGACGUGGUCCCACCAUGCAUCCAGCCACUAAUCCUGCCUGGAGCAGGGCUGUGUCAUCCUGAAACCUUGUAUUCUGUUGUCUUACUCUGACUUACCCUGCUUUAUCUGGAGGGAGUCAUGAGGUGGAUGUGAGGCAAGACACCCUGCCAUGAAAAAGGAGCAGUCAUGCUCAGAGGGGAGCUCAGCUUGAACGUCAUCAUCUGGUCUUCAGCUUGGGGCCCAAGUGAUUGAGGACUAAUUGGAAAGAAUCCAGUAGAGACCAGCACUGGGGGUGAAAGACCAGGGGAGGAGAGAGAGAGAGAACUGGGGCUGGCCAGGGUAGAAACAGGAGAUGUCAAAUAUGUAAGAGGUUGUUGCAGAGGGGCAGGGGAUAAACUAUUCUCCCCAUCCAUGGGGGAUACGAGAAGAAGCUGCAGGCUUAUAUUUCACUAAGAAAGCCUAAGUAAAAACUUUCUAAUUAUAAAAAUAGCUCAUAGUAGAAAAGGCAACAGAUCCUUUACGGGCACUGGAAUAAUCUAUUAGGAUAACUAAACUUGUUGUUUACUUCCAGAAAAAUGUUGGAAAGUAUUCUUUUUAAAAGUCUUUUUCAUAACUCACAGCAAAUCUCCCUCAAGUAAACAUCCUUUCCAAUCUUCAUAUAUCUUCUACCUCUCCUCCCAGGCAGUGAUGAAUGUAACAAAGUAGUGGGUGGGAGGAAACAGAUAAAUAUUUUGUAAGUAAUGUACUAUAUAUACUGGGCACAGAUAGAAAUAGCAUUGUGCUCCUUCUAUUUUCCUUCUUACCAGCACAAAUCAGGAAUAAAUCCAGGCACCAAACUCUUUUUACA
rnacentral:lncRNA from 1 species